rnacentral:rRNA from 1 species
GCGAACGGGUGAGUAACACGUGAGUAACCUGCCCUUGACUCUGGGAUAAGCGUUGGAAACGACGUCUAAUACCGGAUACGAGCUAGGACCGCAUGGUCACUAGUUGGAAAGAAUUUCGGUCAAGGAUGGACUCGCGGCCUAUCAGCUAGUUGGUGAGGUAACGGCCCACCAAGGCGACGACGGGUAGCCGGCCUGAGAGGGUGACCGGCCACACUGGGACUGAGACACGGCCCAGACUCCUACGGGAGGCAGCAGUGGGGAAUAUUGCACAAUGGGCGCAAGCCUGAUGCAGCAACGCCGCGUGAGGGACGACGGCCUUCGGGUUGUAAACCUCUUUUAGCAGGGAAGAAGCGAAAGUGACGGUACCUGCAGAAAAAGCACCGGCUAACUACGUGCCGGCAGCCGCGGUAAUACGUAGGGUGCAAGCGUUGUCCGGAAUUAUUGGGCGUAAAGAGCUCGUAGGCGGUUUGUCGCGUCUGCUGUGAAAAUCCGAGGCUCAACCUCGGACCUGCAGUGGGUACGGGCAAACUAGAGUGCGGUAGGGGAGAUUGGAAUUCCUGGUGUAGCGGUGGAAUGCGCAGAUAUCAGGAGGAACACCAAUGGCGAAGGCAGAUCUCAGGGCCGUAACUGACGCUGAGGAGCGAAAGCGUGGGGAGCGAACAGGAUUAGAUACCCUGGUAGUCCACGCCGUAAACGGUGG